UGUCCGUUCGGGGAAAUUCGAUAAAAUUGAAACGAUACACGGAAGAUUAGCAUGGUCCCUGCGCCAAACAUGACUCUUUUUGUGCUGGAAGCAUACAUUUAAUUA